UACGGAGGGUGCAAGCGUUGUCCGGAAUCACUGGGUGUAAAGGGCGCGUAGGCGGCUCAUGAAGGCUGUGGUGAAAGUCCGGGGCUCAACCUCGGAUCGGCCGUGGCGACUCGUGGGCUGGAGCACUGUAGAGGCGGGUGGAAUUCCGGGUGUAGCGGUGGAAUGCGUAGAGAUCCGGAAGAACACCAGUGGCGAAGGCGGCCCGCUGGGCAGUGGCUGACGCUGAGGCGCGACAGCGUGGGGAGCAAACAGG
rnacentral:rRNA from 1 species